rnacentral:rRNA from 1 species
GAUGAACGCUGGCGGUAUGCUUAACACAUGCAAGUCGAACGGUACCUUCGGGAGUAGUGGCGGACGGGGGAGGAACGCGUGAGAAGCUAGCUUCAGGUCUGGGACAACAGUUAGAAAUGACGGCUAAUACCGGAUGAGCCGAGAGGUAACAGAUUUAGUGCCUGAGAAAGAGCCCGGGGCAGAUUAGCUAGUGGGUGGUGUAAGGGACUACCUAGGGUUCGAUCUGUAGGUGGUAUGAGAGGACAAUCAGCCACACUGGAACUGGGACACAGUGCAGACUACUACGGGAGGGAGCAAUGGCGGAUUUAGCCAAAUGGGCUGAAUGCUGACGGAGCACUACUGCGUGAGCGCCGAUGGCUGUUGAGAAGUACACCUCUUUUAUACAGGAAGAUUCUGACGGUACUCGAGGAAUAAGCAUCGGCUAACUCUGUG